rnacentral:rRNA from 1 species
ACAGCAGUCGCCGCGGGAAUACGAAGGGGGCUAGCGUUGUUCGGAAUUACUGGGCGUAAAGCGCACGUAGGCGGAUAUUUAAGUCAGGGGUGAAAUCCCGCAGCUCAACUGCGGAACUGCCUUUGAUACUGGGUAUCUUGAGUAUGGAAGAGGUUAGUGGAAUUGCGAGUGUAGAGGUGAAAUUCGUAGAUAUUCGCAGGAACACCAGUGGCGAAGGCGGCUAACUGGUCCAUAACUGACGCUGAGGUGCGAAAGCGUGGGGAGCAAACAGGAUUAGAUACCCCAGUAGUCCCUGUCUCUUAUAA